UUCCUGGGGGUUGACCCGCGCACGAGGUCCUCACCGCCCGAGGUCCGCGCGGCGCUGCGUGUUUGGCGUCCCGCGGCGGCCGGGGCCUCCGUGGACCGUUCAGCGCCCCCUCAUGCGCCUCCCCCUUUCUGCUCGCGCUCACCCUAAACCCCGCAGCGCCCACCUGCGUCCUCGCACCGGCCGGGUGCCGGUGCGGCCCGAGCCGCUCUCGAGAGGUCGAAUUCCGGGUCUGCAGGAGGCGGGUCUUCUUCGAACUCUAUGUCCCGGGAUCAGAGAUGGGACCUGGUCCAGGGCACUGUGAUGGCGAGAUGGGUGUCCUCAUCAAAAGGGGAAAUCUGGACACAGAGACAGGCACACACAGAA